AUGAGAAACUCUGGUCUCAGUGGGAUGGAAAUAGAGCCUGGAAGAAAUGGGAAACUUUAAUAUCUGGAUGGAUUCCUUAAACAGGUAACAGAAACUAUAGCCUGAAAGCCAAACUGAUUUUGAUUGACAAGAACCGGACUUUAAGGGGGAAAUAAUAAAAUACAUUCUUAGGGACUAAAGAAGUUGGGGUUUGAAUAUCAAGAACUAAGCUUAGAACACUAUGCACAGGAUUUGUACCAAACACAUUAAAGGAAAAAGAAAAUCUAGAUGACAUCAUAAUUUCCCCGCCACGCAAAAAAGAAAUGUGAAGGUAGAAUUCGGCUGAUUUGAGAAUGCUGGGGGAAGACGGAAAUGUGCGUGCUCUGCAUGCCCCAGAAAUCUUCACACCUUUUACUCCUUAUCCACUAAAUGCUAGGGAAGAAGAAGAAGACGGAACAGAUACUCCGAGGGGAUCCAGCAGCAGGAAGGUUGCACCUCACUCUCCGGGGUAAAGCCUGGGAAGGCUAAUGGGCUUUUAGGGAAACUAUGUUCAGCAUGGCCCUGGCACCAUGGAGCUUCUAGUCUGGACAGGACAUUUGAGGAGCUUUCUCUCUGGGGUUGGUGGUAGCCACGUGAAUGUUACCAUUCCCAGCAUGGUCCAAGAAAUACAUCCAGAAGUUCUGGAUCCUCCUCCUCUCUACAGGGGGACUAAAAAUAUACUGAGAAGCCCAGCGGAUGGGGAGUUGCCUGGGGUUAGGACCAGAAGUGAGAGAUUUGAUGAGGUCCCAGAGAAAAAGACCCGGCAGCCGGGCAGGUCAAAUGAAACCUCCGCAGGUGCCACAGUUCAACAUCUACGGUUCCGGAGGGCACGUGGCAGGGAGGGGAGGAGGGGCAGCGGAGGCCGGAGGGCACAGGGGUCAGAAGCCCCUGCUCUGAUGCCAGGACAGUACGCGUCUCGUUGGACACAGGAUGAGAGAUUGGAGCAAAUGACAAGAAAAAGAGAAGGGGAGAAUUUUGAGUCAAGACUGUUUAUUUAAGGGAGACCUGUUUAAAUUGCAAGCGAUUGCAAUUGUGGAACUGACGAUUUUAAACAAAUUUUCCCACCAUCCCCCUGAAGUAAAAGCUUGAAAAAUAAAGUCCACCUGGGUGGUGACUGUCAAGACAGGCCCUGCCCCGUGGGCACUGGUUGAGGAAUUUGGUGUAUUCCACACAUGCCGGAGUUUCCAAGGAGGAAACGUGUUUGAAGUCCAAAGAACAAGGACGGCCUCUGCUUGCUAAUCAGAAAAGAAGAAAUGCGUGAGGAUUGAAAUUGGCAACCAAUCUUUGAAAGCCUAGUAGACACCCAAUGCCUUCAACAUGUCUUAUAUGACCCUUGCCUCCAGCCUGUAAGGCUGGAGUGCAGUGGUGUGAUCUCAGCUCACUGAAACCUCCACCUCCUGGAUUCAAGCAAUUCUCUUGCUUCAGCCUCCUGAGUAGCUGGGAUUACAGGUACCCUCUAUCAUGCCCGGGUAAUUUAAAUACUUCAUGGAGCACAUAUAACUUACGAGAGCAGCAUUCUUGCAUAAAGUAAACAUUAAAACAUAUCUUCAUUUUAUGUAUUUUAUACAUGCUUGCCCACGUUGUGUGUUCAUGUUUUUAUCUUUUUAACCUAUUUAUAUUGGCAUUUGAGAAUUAGUGUCCUGAAUUUGCAAAACUGGAAUUUUAAUUGAAGUCCAGUUUGUGUAAAUCAGAUUUACACAGUAGCACCGGCUUCUUGUAAUUAGAACGAUAAGACUGACAUUUUCCUUGGAAAACCGCUCAUGCACCAUGUUCAUCUCUAGCUGCUUAUUUUGCUUCUGAUAGGGUUUUUAUAAUAGGAAUCCAACAUUUGUUCUCGUAUCACAUAAAACUUUGCUUUAGUAAAUGCUACACAAAAAUUACAAAAAGCCAGAGAUGGACUCAGUAGAUACUUCCACUUGUAUUUAAUUUGUGGAUGUGUGCAGAGAUAUGUUAUCUCGGGUUUCUAAGGAAAGGCAUAGAAUCAAACAGAAACCCAUGGGAAAAUAAGCUUAUUCCACGCUGCUGUGAGAAACAAAAUGUGCACAUAAGUAAAUUAUGUAGAGUUAAAACAUUCCUUGUACUAAGUUAGCAUUCAGCAUAUAAAAUAGACCAUUAUUAUUUUACUGAUCCCUUUAUGUCCCUUUCUGACUGCAUUCUCUAUAGGGUUAUCCAUUUUCCUGAGUUUUACAUUAAUCAUUCCUUUGUUUUUUUAAUGGUAUAAUAAUCUAUGUAUAUAGAAUGAACCACAAUGCUCUAGUUAAUUUAUUAGUUAAUUUAUUUUCACUGCUCUUUAGCGUUCCACUUUAAAGAUAUUUUGCAAUUGAUUUGUCAGUGCUACUAUGGCUAGGUAUUCCAAGUCAUUACUUCUUUUUGUUAUUAUGAAUGGUGCUACUCUAAACAUCCUCAUACACCUCCUGGUAUACAUGAGCAAUAGUUUCUCUGGGGGUUUGCUUAGUUAUAGGUAUUCCGAUGUUCAGCUUUGCAAGGGAAUACCAAAGUGUACUUCAAUGCAUUUGCACCAGUUUCCCUGUCACUGGCAUGUAUUUGUUCUCAUUGUUCUACUUCCUUACCAACAUUGGA